rnacentral:rRNA from 1 species
GAUGAACGCUAGCGGCAGGCUUACACAUGCAAGUCGAGGGGUAACGAUGGUGCUUGCACCAUGCGACGACCGGCGGACGGGUGAGUAACGCGUAUGCAACCUACCUAUUGCAGGAAGAUAGCCCGAGGAAACUCGGAUUAAUAUUCCAUAAUAUCAUUUUUACACAUGUAUUAAUGAUUAAAGCUACGGCGGCAAUAGAUGGGCAUGCGUACCAUUAGCUAGUUGGUGAGGUAACGGCUCACCAAUGUUACGAUGGUUAGGGGGUCUUAAAGGAUGAUCCCCCACACUGGUACUGAGACACGGACCAGACUCCUACGGGAGUGCAGCAGUGAGGAAUAUUGGGCAAUGGACGCAAGUCUGACCCAGCCAUGCCGCGUGCAGGAUGACUGCUCUAGUAGUUGUAAACUGCUUUUCUAUUUCAUGAACCCCUCUGACGUGUCAGGGGCUGACAGUAGAAUAGGAAUAAGCAUCGGCUAACUCCGUGCCAGCAGCCGCGGUAAUACGGAGGAUGCAAGCGUUAUCCGGAUUUACUAGGUUUAAAGGGUGCGUAGGCGGGGUAUCAAGUCAGUGGUGAAAUCCUGCAGCUCAACUGUAGAACUGCCAUUGAAACUGAUAUUCUUGAGUAUAGUUGAGGUAGGCGGAAUGUGUUAAGUAGCGGUGAAAUGCAUAGAGAUAACACAGAACACCGAUUGCGAAGGCAGCUUACUAAACUAUUACUGACGCUGAGGUACGAAAGCGUGGGGAGCGAACAGGAUUAGAUACCCUGGUAGUCCACGCCGUAAACGUUGAUCACUAGUUGUUUGCGAUACAUUGUGAGCGACUGAACAAAAGCAUUAAGUGAUCCACCUGGGGAGUACGUUGGCAACGAUGAAACUCAAAGGAAUUGACGGGGGCCCGCACAAGCGGAGGAACAUGUGGUUUAAUUCGAUGAUACGCGAGGAACCUUACCUGGGCUUAAAUGUAAGACGACUAACAGGGAAACUUGUUAUCUUUCGAGCGUCCUACAAGGUGCUGCAUGGUUGUCGUCAGCUCGUGCCGUGAGGUGUCGGGUUAAGUCCCAUAACGAGCGCAACCCUUAUCGUUAGUUGCCAGCGGGUAAUGCCGGGGACUCUAGCGAAACUGCCAUCGUAAGAUGUGAGGAAGGUGGGGAUGACGUCAAAUCAGCACGGCCCUUAUGUCCAGGGCUACACACGUGUUACAAUGGUCGAAACAAAGGGCAGCUACUUGGUGACAAGAUGCUAAUCUCUAAAAUCGAUCUCAGUUCGGAUCGAAGUCUGCAAUUCGACUUCGUGAAGUUGGAUUCGCUAGUAAUCGCGCAUCAGCAAUGGCGCGGUGAUACGUUCCCGGGCCUUGUACACACCGCCCGUCAAGCCAUGGAAGCUGGGGGUACCUGAAGUCUGUAACCGAGAGGAGCGGCCUAAGGUAAAACUUAGUAACUGGGGCUAAGUCGUAA